rnacentral:rRNA from 1 species
UACGGAGGGUGCGAGCGUUGUCCGGAAUCACUGGGCGUAAAGGGCGCGUAGGCGGCAUGCCAAGCGUGUGGUGAAAGCCCGGGGCUCAACCCCGGGUCGGCCGUGCGGACUGGCGUGCUCGAGCACUGUAGGGGCGGGUGGAAUUCCGGGUGGUAGCGGUGGAAUGCGUAGAGGAUCCGGAAGAACACCGGUGGCGAAGGCGGCCCG